AUGUACUGGAUAAAUAAAUUGGGUACGCUUUGGCCUAAGGGCCUUAAUAGGGAAUAUACACCUAUGUGCUUUAUUUAAGUUAUAAUACCCUUCUAUUCCACUUAGGUCAGACAACACCCUCCUUUGUUCUGAUUGGUUUUAACCUUUUAUUGUAUGUUUACAUUUUUCUGAACAUGAUUUUUGUCUUUUAAGGUUAUCAACAUUUAUGAAGAAUGGGUACAUGAUCCCGGACUGCAUCGAGGAGAUUCCAUUUGGAACUAUCCUCUCCGGGUAAAAGUACAACUAAAUACCCAGUAUGGAAUAUGGAUUAACAAGACACACGGAAAAUGAAUAACACUUGGACUUUAUUGGACUUUCACAAUGUCCUCACUUGAUUGGUUUGAACUUGAUUGGGGGUGGGUCCUGAUAUUGUGCACUCCCCCAGUGUGGGGGAUAAAUGUUUGUAUCACACACUAUCAGGCAGGCUUGAGAAAGGGCAAGACAAGGCCCGAAACGUUGCCUGUUACUGACCAAUUGCAAUAAAUUUUUUCACAUUUUGCAAA